ACCGGGAGAGGUUAGAGGUACUCCCAGGGUAGAGGUGAAAUUCUGUAAUCCUGGGAGGACCGCCUGUUGCGAAGGCGUCUAACUGGAACGGUUCUGACGGUGAGGGACGAAAGUUAGGGGCGCGAACCGGAUUAGAUACCCGGGUAGUCCUAACUGUAAACGAUGCGGACUUGGUGUUGGGGUGGCUUUGAGCUGCUCCAGUGCCGAAGGGAAGCUGUUAAGUCCGCCGCCUGGG
rnacentral:rRNA from 1 species